rnacentral:rRNA from 1 species
UACAGAGACUGCAAGCGUUAUUCGGAUUCACUGGGCGUAAAGGGUGCGCAGGCGGUCGGGUGUGUCAGAUGUGAAAUCCCGAGGCUCAACCUCGGAACUGCGUCUGAAACUACUCGACUAGAGUACUGGAGAGGGUAACGGAAUUCACGGUGUAGCAGUGAAAUGCGUAGAUAUCGUGAGGAACACCAGAGGCGAAGGCGGUUACCUGGACAGUUACUGACGCUCAGGCACGAAAGCAUGGGGAGCAAAAAGGG